AUUGAACGCUAGCGGGAUGCCUUACACAUGCAAGUCGAACGGAGUGGCGAACGGGUGGGUAAUGUAUCGGAACGUGCCCAGUAGCGGGGGAUAACUACGCGAAAGCGUAGCUAAUACCGCAUACUAUUGGCUCGGCCUAUCUCGGAUUAGCUAGUUGGAGGGGUAACGGCUCACCAAGGCGACGAUCCGUAGCAGGUUUGAGAGGACGACCAGCCACACUGGGACUGAGACACGGUCCAGACUCCUACGGGAGGCAGCAGUGGGGAAUUUUGGACAAUGGGGGAAAGCCUGACCCAGCCAUGCCGCGUGUGCGAUGAAGGCCUUCGGGUUGUAAAGCACUUUUGGCAGGAAAGCGGUACCUGCAGAAUAAGCACCGGCUAACUACGUGCCAGCAGCCGCGGUAAUAC
rnacentral:rRNA from 1 species